rnacentral:rRNA from 1 species
UACGUAGGGUGCGAGCGUUGUCCGGAAUUAUUGGGCGUAAAGGGCUCGUAGGCGGUUUGUCGCGUCGGGAGUGAAAACCUCGGGCUUAACUCGGGGCUUGCUUUCGAUACGGGCAGACUGGAGGUAUGCAGGGGAGAACGGAAUUCCUGGUGUAGCGGUGAAAUGCGCAGAUAUCAGGAGGAACACCGGUGGCGAAGGCGGCUUGCUGGGCCAGUUCUGACGCUGAGGAGCGAAAGCGUGGGGAGCGAACAGG